AGAGUUUGAUCAUGGCUCAGGAUGAACGCUGGCGGUCUGCUUAACACAUGCAAGUCGAACGGAAUCUUUCGGGAUUUAGUGGCGGACGGGUGAGUAACGCGUGAGAAUCUGCCUUCAGGUUCGGGACAACAGUUGGAAACGGCUGCUAAUACCGGAUGUGCCGAGAGGUGAAAGCUUAAGUGCCUGGAGAUGAGCUCGCGUCUGAUUAGCUAGUAGGAGUGGUAACGGCACCCCUAGGCGACGAUCAGUAGCUGGUCUGAGAGGAUGAUCAGCCACACUGGGACUGAGACACGGCCCAGACUCCUACGGGAGGCAGCAGUGGGGAAUUUUCCGCAAUGGGCGCAAGCCUGACGGAGCAAGACCGCGUGAGGGAAGAAGGUCUGUGGAUUGUAAACCUCUUUUGAUCGGGAAGAAGACAGUGACGGUACCGAUCGAAUCAGC
rnacentral:rRNA from 1 species